AAAAUGCCUCUUGCAACAAAGCUUUUUUUGAUGCUGUACUGCCGUUGUAUGAUAAAUUUUGUCGCAAAAGAAACCAAGACAAAUUACUUGAAGCAUUCUACGGAUUGAUCCCUAAUUCGAGACAAUAUUUAAAUUGUCCAGAUUCUAACGCUGCGAAUUUAAUUAUGAUAGAGAUACCAGAUCAUUUAGCUGGAUUUUUCAAGGUUUGCCAACAUCGUAAAAAGGCGACUACAACUAGUGAUUUAAAACUUGACCCAUCAGAACGUGGCCCUCUUUCCUACAUCGCAGGGUAUAUAGUUUCAAAGCUAUACCAGAAGACUAGAUCUAAGAAUCAGAAUGAAUGUGACGAGGAAUUGCAAGCUCUACUACAGGCCUUAAAGUCGACUGAAUCGGACAAUAAUUUUAUCCUUGCUCGUAGCAGAGGAGGUCUUGUUUCUCCUAGCCAUCAUCUUAUGGGUAUCGUGGAAGAAGCCGAGAUUUGCUUCAGGAAAAAUGUUGGUGAAGGCGAACUAGUGUUGAGAAAUAUACCUACCGAGAUCAUUUGCGAGUCAACAUUAAGCUCUCCGGUCGUCAAAUCACUGUGGGAGAACAUUGUGCUGGAAUCUGGCAUAGAAGAAUCAAGCUCUACGCAGAAGUUAUGCUUGGAAAACAUUGUGAAAUUGUAUAUUCGUGUUCGCUCAUUUUCCUAUGCAAGGGACUAUAUUAGCAAAUAUAAAAUAAAGGAAAAACAGACGAAAAGUAAAUCGUUACGAAAGGACUUAAAACGAAGCAAAAAUCAUUAAAUCACUGUGAUUAAUGCACCUAUCAAUGUUAAGCCCCAGAGGGGGGAGGGGUCUGGCAUAGGUGGGGCAUUUGAUUUUUUUAGCAAAUUUUCAAUCAAAUGCCCCACCGUCGGGCAAUAAAUAUUGGUCAAAUACUAUAUUAAUAAAAGUCAUUCGGUUCAAAUUGCCUCAACUCGGGGCCAAAAUGCUAAUCAAAAUCCCCAGGGUGGGGAUGCAAUUGAUGAUCAAAUACCCCACAUAUGCCCGACCACACACCCCCCCCUUCUGGGGUUUAACAUUGAUAUGUGCAUAAAUGAUAAACUAUAAGUUAUGAACCAUGUUACAAAUUACAAUGCCACAGUAUUAGAAACACGGUUUUUAAUAUGACCCUGUGUGAUGAGAAGGUUUUUAAUAUGACCCCGUGUGAUGAGAAGCCAUAGUUUAGAAGUUCUAUUCUUGGGUUUCAUAUGACGUCAUAAAUUUGACGGGGGGGGGGUCAACUCUAAAUCGAGACACAGUCAUCAGAGUGAAUUAAUUGUUCACUGUAUGUGUUGGCCUUGUGUUUGGUGGCAAAUAUGUGCAAUUUCGUAUCAUUUGCUCAGUACAGCAUAAGCAUCAAUACAUUUUAGGUUGACCCCCCAUCAGAUUCACUGCAAAAUGCCAUAGUAGAACCCCAAUCUCAUUCCCAGAGCCUCUGCGAUCCUUGGAAAGGAACAUGAGGCUCUGGGAUAAUCCAUUUCAGGGAGGAAUCUGAUUGGCCGUUGAUAUAGAAUGCGUAGUUUGGUCUUAGCCAGGAUUCCUGGCUUCCGGCAACGGAUUAUCCCAGAGCCUCACGUUCCUUCCCGAGGAUCGCAGGUUCAGGGAACAAGAUUGAGUAUAACCCAAGAAUUGCUUUCAAAUCAACAUGAAGUGUGAUCAUGUUGAACUUGCAUGCAAUAAAGUACUACCUCGUAUUACUCACUUGCAACAGCAGCCAUGUUCGUGCCAC